rnacentral:rRNA from 1 species
UACGUAGGGUGCAAGCGUUAAUCGGAAUUACUGGGCGUAAAGCGUGCGCAGGCGGUGAUGUAAGACAGAUGUGAAAUCCCCGGGCUCAACCUGGGAACUGCAUUUGUGACUGCAUCGCUGGAGUGCGGCAGAGGGGGAUGGAAUUCCGCGUGUAGCAGUGAAAUGCGUAGAUAUGUGGCGGAACACCGAUGGCGAAGGCAGCCCCCUGGGCUGAGAUUGACGCUCAGGCACGAAAGCGUGGGGAGCAAACAGG